CACGUAGGCGGACCGGAAAGUCAGAGGUGAAAUCCCAGGGCUCAACCUUGGAACUGCCUUUGAAACUAUCGGUCUGGAGUUCGAGAGAGGUGAGUGGAAUUCCGAGUGUAGAGGUGAAAUUCGUAGAUAUUCGGAGGAACACCAGUGGCGAAGGCGGCUCACUGGCUCGAUACUGACGCUGAGGUGCGAAAGCGUGGGGAGCAAACA
rnacentral:rRNA from 1 species